rnacentral:rRNA from 1 species
GAUGAACGCUAGCGGGAGGCUUAACACAUGCAAGUCGAGGGGCAGCAUAGGGUAGCAAUACUCUGAUGGCGACCGGCAAACGGGUGAGUAACGCGUAUGCAACCUACCCUGUACAGGGGGAUAACCCGGAGAAAUUCGGACUAAUAUCCCGUAAUAAUAUCCGGAGGCAUCUUUGGAUAUUUAAAGUUUCGACGGUACGGGAUGGGCAUGCGUAACAUUAGCUGGUUGGUAAGGUAACGGCUUACCAAGGCUAUGAUGUUUAGGGGUCCUGAGAGGGUGGUCCCCCACACUGGUACUGAGACACGGACCAGACUCCUACGGGAGGCAGCAGUGAGGAAUAUUGGUCAAUGGGCGCAAGCCUGAACCAGCCAUCCCGCGUGCAGGAAGACGGCCCUAUGGGUUGUAAACUGCUUUUCCAGGGAGAGAAACUUACGCACGUGUUGCGUGACUGACGGUACCCUGGGAAUAAGCAUCGGCUAACUCCGUGCCAGCAGCCGCGGUAAACUCGAGAGU